rfam:Debaryomyces hansenii mitochondrion, complete genome.
UGUCUUGUAGUUUAAAGGUAGAACUUCACUCUUCUAAAGUGACUAUUUGGGUUCGACUCCCAACGAGACAG